UACAGAGGUCUCAAGCGUUGUUCGGAAUCACUGGGCGUAAAGGGUGCGUAGGCGGGUCUUUAAGUCAGGGGUGAAAUCCUGGAGCUCAACUCCAGAACUGCCUUUGAUACUGAGGAUCUUGAGUACGGGAGAGGUGAGUGGAACUGCGAGUGUAGAGGUGAAAUUCGUAGAUAUUCGCAAGAACACCAGUGGCGAAGGCGGCUCACUGGCCCGUAACUGACGCUGAGGCACGAAAGCGUGGGGAGCAAACAGG
rnacentral:rRNA from 1 species